rnacentral:rRNA from 1 species
UAAAAACAUUGUCUUAUGAACAAAAUAUUAGAUAAUACCUGCCCAGUGACACUCUGUUCAACGGCCGCGGUAUCCUAACCGUGCAAAGGUAGCAUAAUCAUUUGCCUAUUAAUUGUAGGCUAGAAUGAAGGGGUUAACGAAAUAAAAGCUGUCUCAAUUAAUUAACUAAAAAUUAUUUUCUAUCCGAAGAAAGGUAGAUAAUCUCGAAGGACAAGAAGACCCUGUAGAGCUUAAUUUUAACUAUAGAAUUACACUAUAUAAAUAUUCGGUUGGGGCGACCCAGGGCUAAUCAAUCACCCAUAAAAUAAAAGAUAAAUAAAUCUAAUAAAUGACCCUUUAAAGAUCAUAAAAACAAGCUACCUUAGGGAUAACAGGCUAAUCCCACUUAAGAGUUCUUAUCAAUAGUGGGGUUUGGCACCUCGAUGUUGGCUUAGGUAUCUCUAUAGCGCAAAAGUUAUAUAAAGAUGGUUUGUUCAACCAGUAAUUCCCUACGUGAUUGU